UUGCCUUAAACUAAUGAGUAAGGAAAACAAAGUGAGCGGCGGGAGCUGCCCGCCGCGCAUGACAUAAUAUUUGUUCCUCACGAAUUUAUGGAGGGGUUAUAGGCUUGCUGAGCGUAGACGCUGCUUACUUUGCAGAACUCGUUCGUGCGGGCCUCCCA